rnacentral:rRNA from 1 species
AUUGAACGCUGGCGGCAUACUUUACACAUGCAAGUCGAACGGUAACAGGCCGCAAGGUGCUGACGAGUGGCGAACGGGUGAGUAAUGCAUCGGAACGUGCCCAGUCGUGGGGGAUAACUACUCGAAAGAGUAGCUAAUACCGCAUACGAUCUAUGGAUGAAAGCGGGGGACCGUAAGGCCUCGCGCGAUUGGAGCGGCCGAUGUCAGAUUAGGUAGUUGGUGGGGUAAAGGCUCACCAAGCCAACGAUCUGUAGCUGGUCUGAGAGGACGACCAGCCACACUGGGACUGAGACACGGCCCAGACUCCUACGGGAGGCAGCAGUGGGGAAUUUUGGACAAUGGGCGCAAGCCUGAUCCAGCAAUGCCGCGUGCAGGAAGAAGGCCUUCGGGUUGUAAACUGCUUUUGUACGGAACGAAACGGCUCUGGUUAAUACCCGGGGCUAAUGACGGUACCGGAAGAAUAAGCACCGGCUAACUACGUG